rnacentral:tRNA from 1 species
GGGGGGAUAGCUCAAGGGGUAGAGUGCAUGCUUAGCAUGCAGGAGGUCCUAGGUUCAAUCCCUAGUGCCUCCA